GGGCGGGUGCGGAGCGCCCUCCUCCCGGCGGGGGAUGUUCCGGCCGCCGGGGGCGCGCCGCCCGUGGGAAGCGCGCUCCUAACGCCACCUGGGCGUCGCAGGGAGCGCUCGGCGCGGAGCGGGCGGCGCGGGGUCGCCGGGAACCGGGCAGAUCUUUAUGGUUAUGGCAAAACCUUUCAUCAUCAGCCGAUGGUAUAAUGGACUACCAGUUGGAUGAUACACAGUCGUCUGAAACAUGAUAUAUACUUCUCCUCAUCCGUGUCCAUGGGUGAGUGGAGGGAGCAGCUUUCUUCCAGGAGAGUGUUUUACUGGAAGAGGGGGAAGAUCUUCAUGGUUAAAAGUCUGUCAGAGCUGUGUUACAAGUGCUGGGUUGGCAUGCAGCAAUGUACAUGGCCCAUAUGCUGACACAGUACCAGUUUUGUUUCCAAAAGUGGAGUUCACAGAAUUACAGUGUCUGAUCCAACUAGCUGCUCUGAUGAUCCUCACUGGACCAUGUGUCAGUGGCACAACUGUUCCAUUGCAGAAAAUUUUAUAAUGGAUGCUGAAUUUCAGGAUACCUGAAAAUACCUGCGCAGUUUUGAUGUGGAAGGAAAACAAUAAAGAAAGUGUCUAAAAUGAUAUGGUUAGCUUC
rnacentral:lncRNA from 1 species